UGGACAAGAUUUAUUAACAAAACUAUGUCAUCAUUACAAAUUAAGAAAAUAGACAAGAUAUGUAACAAAACAGAAAUAUAAUCAACAAGGACCACUAACAUAUAUGAUGCAUGGACCAAAAAAUAUAAUGGACAAAAAAAAACAUACAAUUUUGACUAGUCACAUACGACCUAAGUCAUCUUAUCUUAAUUUUGUCCAUUGAAACUAAAAUUUCAGCCCUUCUGUCGACGAUCCUAUUCCUAGAAUUCAUCUUUUUCCACCUAUGGACAAAAUUAGAGCAUCAUUAUUAACAAUUUGUCCACGAAUUCAGAGAUAUAUUCAUGAAAACAUCAAAAUUCAAAGAUCUAAGUUUUCCAAUGAAAGAUAUCAAGAUCUUACGAUGUAACGAAGUGGAAGAAGACGACGAGAAGAUCUUGACUUACUAAUAGCGACAACGACGUUGACGAGAUUUGACGGUGAUAUCGUAGUCAAUUAAACCAGAUCAUGGCGGCGACGUUAAGGAGCUCCGCCGGUGACAUCGUAGUCAACAGAACCACAUCUCUUUUCUUCUUUUCCGUUCUUCAAGAUUUGAGUUGGACAUAUAUUGAAGAGUGUGAGAGAGAAGAUGGAGGAAAAAGAUAGCGAUGAAGG
rnacentral:lncRNA from 1 species